rnacentral:pre_miRNA from 1 species
GGAAACCUGAAAACUACUGUUGGAUCGAAAAAUAGACUUUUGAGAUUUGUCCACGUCAUUAGGAGUAAAAAUUUUACUCGCAGGUUACUCAUGAGUAAAAAUUUUGCUGGGAUAUGGACGAAUCUUGGAUGUUCAUUUUUCGAUCAAAUAAUAGUUUUUAAGUUUUC